GACGAACGCUGGCGGCGUGCUUAACACAUGCAAGUCGAACGGGCCUUGUCCCCUUUUUUUUUGGGGGUGGGGUUAGUGGCGAACGGGUGAGUAACACGUGAGUAACCUGCCCCUCACUUCUGGAUAACCGCUUGAAAGGGUGGCUAAUACGGGGUGUUCUGGCCUGCUCGCAUGGGUGGGUUUGGAAAGAUUCGACCGGUUUUGGUGGUUUUGGUGGGGGAUGGGGUCGCGGCCUAUCAGCUUGUUGGUGGGGUGAUGGCCUGCCAAGGCUUUGACGGGUAGCCGGCCUGAGAGGGUGGGCGGUCACACUGGGACUGAGACACGGCCCAGACUCCUACGGGAGGCAGCAGUGGGGAAUAUUGCACAAUGGGCGCAAGCCUGAUGCAGCGACGCCGCGUGAGGGAUGGAGGCCUUCGGGUUGUGAACCUCUUUCGCCAGUGAAGAAGGUCCUGCUCUUUGUGGUGGGGUUGACGGUAGCUGGGUUAAUGAAGCGCCGGCUAACUACGUG
rnacentral:rRNA from 1 species